UACGUAGGGUGCGAGCGUUUAAUCGGAAUACUGGGCGUAAAGCGUGCGCAGGCGGUGAUGUAAGACAGGUGUGAAAUCCCCGGGCUAACCUGGGAACUGCAUUUGUGACUGCAUCGCUGGAGUGCGGCAGAGGGGGAUGGAAUUCCGCGUGUAGCAGUGAAAUGCGUAGAUAUGCGGAGGAACACCGAUGCGAAGGCAGCCUCCUGGGCCAGCACUGACGCUCAUGCACGAAAGCGUGGGGAGCAAACAGG
rnacentral:rRNA from 1 species